rnacentral:rRNA from 1 species
GUACACAAAAAUGCACAUAUUGUGAGCUCGAUGAGUAGGGCGGGACACGUGGUAUCCUGUCUGAAUAUGGGGGGACCAUCCUCCAAGGCUAAAUACUCCUGACUGACCGAUAGUGAACCAGUACCGUGAGGGAAAGGCGAAAAGAACCCCGGCGAGGGGAGUGAAAAAGAACCUGAAACCGUGUACGUACAAGCAGUGGGAGCCUCUUUAUGGGGUGACUGCGUACCUUUUGUAUAAUGGGUCAGCGACUUAUAUUCUGUAGCAAGGUUAACCGAAUAGGGGAGCCGAAGGGAAACCGAGUCUUAACUGGGCGUUAAGUUGCAGGGUAUAGACCCGAAACCCGGUGAUCUAGCCAUGGGCAGGUUGAAGGUUGGGUAACACUAACUGGAGGACCGAACCGACUAAUGUUGAAAAAUUAGCGGAUGACUUGUGGCUGGGGGUGAAAGGCCAAUCAAACCGGGAGAUAGCUGGUUCUCCCCGAAAGCUAUUUAGGUAGCGCCUCGUGAAUUCAUCUCCGGGGGUAGAGCACUGUUUCGGCAAGGGGGUCAUCCCGACUUACCAACCCGAUGCAAACUGCGAAUACCGGAGAAUGUUAUCACGGGAGACACACGGCGGGUGCUAACGUCCGUCGUGAAGAGGGAAACAACCCAGACCGCCAGCUAAGGUCCCAAAGUCAUGGUUAAGUGGGAAACGAUGUGGGAAGGCCCAGACAGCCAGGAUGUUGGCUUAGAAGCAGCCAUCAUUUAAAGAAAGCGUAAUAGCUCACUGGUCGAGUCGGCCUGCGCGGAAGAUGUAACGGGGCUAAACCAUGCACCGAAGCUGCGGCAGCGACACUAUGUGUUGUUGGGUAGGGGAGCGUUCUGUAAGCCUGUGAAGGUGGCCUGUGAGGGUUGCUGGAGGUAUCAGAAGUGCGAAUGCUGACAUAAGUAACGAUAAAGCGGGUGAAAAGCCCGCUCGCCGGAAGACCAAGGGUUCCUGUCCAACGUUAAUCGGGGCAGGGUGAGUCGACCCCUAAGGCGAGGCCGAAAGGCGUAGUCGAUGGGAAACAGGUUAAUAUUCCUGUACUUGGUGUUACUGCGAAGGGGGGACGGAGAAGGCUAUGUUGGCCGGGCGACGGUUGUCCCGGUUUAAGCGUGUAGGCUGGUUUUCCAGGCAAAUCCGGAAAACCAAGGCUGAGGCGUGAUGACGAGGCACUACGGUGCUGAAGCGACAAAUGCCCUGCUUCCAGGAAAAGCCUCUAAGCAUCAGGUAACAUCAAAUCGUACCCCAAACCGACACAGGUGGUCAGGUAGAGAAUACCAAGGCGCUUGAGAGAACUCGGGUGAAGGAACUAGGCAAAAUGGUGCCGUAACUUCGGGAGAAGGCACGCUGAUAUGUAGGUGAAGCGACUUGCUCGUGGAGCUGAAAUCAGUCGAAGAUACCAGCUGGCUGCAACUGUUUAUUAAAAACACAGCACUGUGCAAACACGAAAGUGGACGUAUACGGUGUGACGCCUGCCCGGUGCCGGAAGGUUAAUUGAUGGGGUUAGCGGUAACGCGAAGCUCUUGAUCGAAGCCCCGGUAAACGGCGGCCGUAACUAUAACGGUCCUAAGGUAGCGAAAUUCCUUGUCGGGUAAGUUCCGACCUGCACGAAUGGCGUAAUGAUGGCCAGGCUGUCUCCACCCGAGACUCAGUGAAAUUGAACUCGCUGUGAAGAUGCAGUGUACCCGCGGCAAGACGGAAAGACCCCGUGAACCUUUACUAUAGCUUGACACUGAACAUUGAGCCUUGAUGUGUAGGAUAGGUGGGAGGCUUUGAAGUGUGGACGCCAGUCUGCAUGGAGCCGACCUUGAAAUACCACCCUUUAAUGUUUGAUGUUCUAACGUUGGCCCGUAAUCCGGGUUGCGGACAGUGUCUGGUGGGUAGUUUGACUGGGGCGGUCUCCUCCUAAAGAGUAACGGAGGAGCACGAAGGUUGGCUAAUCCUGGUCGGACAUCAGGAGGUUAGUGCAAUGGCAUAAGCCAGCUUGACUGCGAGCGUGACGGCGCGAGCAGGUGCGAAAGCAGGUCAUAGUGAUCCGGUGGUUCUGAAUGGAAGGGCCAUCGCUCAACGGAUAAAAGGUACUCCGGGGAUAACAGGCUGAUACCGCCCAAGAGUUCAUAUCGACGGCGGUGUUUGGCACCUCGAUGUCGGCUCAUCACAUCCUGGGGCUGAAGUAGGUCCCAAGGGUAUGGCUGUUCGCCAUUUAAAGUGGUACGCGAGCUGGGUUUAGAACGUCGUGAGACAGUUCGGUCCCUAUCUGCCGUGGGCGCUGGAGAACUGAGGGGGGCUGCUCCUAG